rnacentral:rRNA from 1 species
CCUACGGGUGGCAGCAGUGAGGAAUAUUGGUCAAUGGGCGCAACCCUGAACCAGCCACGUAGCGUGAAGGAUGACUGCCCUCCGUGUUGUAAACUUCUUUUAUAAAGGAGUAAAGUGAGGCACGUGUGCCAUUUUGUAUGUACUUUAUGAAUACGGAUCGGCUAACUCCGUGCCAGCAGCCGCGGUAAUCCGGAGGAUCCGAGCGUUAUCCGGAUUUAUUGGGUUUAAAGGGAGCGUAGAUGGGUUGUUAAGUCAGUUGUGAAAGUUUGCGGCUCAACCGUAAAAUUGCAAUUGAUACUGGGAGGCUGGAGUACAGUUGAGGUAGGCGGAAUUCGUGGUGUAGCGGUGAAAUGCUUAGAUAUCACGAAGAACUCCGACGGCGAAGGCAGCUUACUAAACUGUCACUGACAUUGAGGCUCGAAAGUGUGGGGAGCAAACAGGAUUAGAUACCCUAGUAGUC